rnacentral:rRNA from 1 species
CGUACGGGUGCGUAACGCGUAUGCAACCUACCUUCAACUGGGGGAUAGCCCGGGGAAACCCGGAUUAAUACCGCAUAAUACAUUUACACGGCAUUGUGUGAUUUGUUAAAGAUUUAUUGGUUGAAGAUGGGCAUGCGUUCGAUUAGCUAGUUGGUAUGGGUAACGGCCUACCAAGGCGACGAUCGAUAGGGGAGCUGAGAGGUUGAUCCCCCACACGAGCACUGAGAUACGGGCCCGACUCCUACGGGAGGCAGCAGUAGGGAAUAUUGGGCAAUGGAUGCAAGUCUGACCCAGCCAUGCCGCGUGCCGGAUGAAGGCCCUCAGGGUUGUAAACGGCUUUUAUUCGGGAAGAAGAGCAGGGAUGCGUCCUUGUGUGACGGUACCGAAUGAAUAAGCACCGGCUAACUCCGUGCCAGCAGCCGCGGUAAUACGGAGGGUGCGAGCGUUGUCCGGAUUUAUUGGGUUUAAAGGGUGCGUAGGUGGCUUGAUAAGUCAGUGGUGAAAUACAGCCGCUCAACGGUUGAGGUGCCAUUGAUACUGUCAAGCUUGAAAGAAUUGG